UAACCCUCUAAGUACAGUAACGUAAACCAGAAGAAUGUGAUUCUGAUGACACUCUUAUCCCAUCUUGUGAACAAACGUUUGGGAGAAGCGAAAGAACCCCAUGGGAUAAAAGCAAAAAGCAUCUCUGAGAGCCCCGGUACAGACGGCAGGUGUGAUGUCAACCCGGCCUGGGUACCAAGAGCCUCUGCCCUGCCUGCUGACUCCAUCAUGCGUUUCCCGAGGCCUCCUUCUCCAUCAUGAAAAUGUAUCAGUUAAGAAAGUGCCUGCAUCUGGAGUCCUCUGAGCCCCCCACAGAUACAAGUCGAGGGCCGACUUUCCUGUUUGUCCUUUUCUUCCCAUGGAAACAGAAUCCACAGUGGAGCAAAGAUGGUCCUGGAUGCCUUAAGAGGGAAACGUCGAACACUACAUAAAUAAAGGUUGACUCGGUGCAGAAGCGUGCAGUGCCAUGUCCCUGCAUCUUCAUGGAGAAAUGUAUUCUUUCCACAUGAGAAGCAACACCGUCCAUGGGAAGCCCAGCAAAGCCCAGCACAUGGCCAAUACUCUCUUCAUUCAAUCCCUUUCCCUAACUCCCUUGCUUUCACUAAUCAAGAUCUUUAAGAAAUACGUUGAGUUAAACCUUCA